ensembl:miRNA
AAAAGUUCAUUCAGGUUUUUCUGCUCUAUCUAAUGGAAAAACCCGAAGGAACUUUUUG